UAUCCACAACCAGAUGUUAAUUCCCUAAAGCAUUUUAAUUUCAUUUUCCAAGAAAAAUAUCUAACAUUCAAAACAACACUCCACUGCUUCCUAAACCCCGUACCUUCUUCAACCUCAACCCUAACCCUAAUGGAAGUCUGUCAUAUACACGGUAAAUGCAUUUUAUCUCCAAUUCGUUCUUCGUCUUCUUCUUCUUCUUCUUCACAUCGUCCUCUCUCGGUUCUCUCUAGAGUUUCAAUCUCGGCUCGGAGUAACCCUCGGCUCCUGUCUUCCUUUCGUUCGGUUCGCCGAAAAAAUUUGUGCUCGGCUUGCAGAUUCGAUACCUUGGUAGCUGGAAAAGAUGAGAAGCCAAAGCAUGGGGAAGUUGUGAGCAAGAAAGAGGAGGAGUUUGGGGACUUGAAGUCUUGGAUGCACAAGAAUGGGCUCCCUCCUUGCAAGGUUGUGCUCAAGGAGAGGCCUUCGCACGAUGAGAAGCACAGGUCUAUCCAUUACGUCGCUGCGAGCGAAGAUCUUCAGGUGGGUGAUGUUGCAUUCUCUGUUCCGAAUUCCCUGGUAGUGACGCUUGAGAGAGUUUUGGGGAACGAGACCAUUGCGGAAUUAUUAACUACGAACAAAUUGUCGGAAUUGGCAUGCUUGGCAUUGUAUCUUAUGUACGAGAAGAAGCAAGGAAAGAAGUCUUUCUGGUUCCCAUACAUUAGAGAGCUGGAUCGUCAGCGAGGGAGGGGACAGCUUGCAGUGGAAUCUCCCCUUCUAUGGUCAGAAGCAGAGUUGGCUUACCUGACAGGCAGUCCCACAAGGGAUGAGGUUCUUGAAAGGGCUGAAGGAAUUAAAAGGGAGUACAAUGAACUUGACACCGUCUGGUUUAUGGCUGGGUCUCUGUUUCAGCAAUACCCAUAUGAUAUUCCUACUGAGGCCUUUACAUUUGAGAUAUUCAAACAAGCAUUUGUGGCGGUUCAGUCUUGUGUGGUACAUUUACAAAAAGUUAGUUUGGCAAGGAGAUUUGCUUUGGUUCCUCUUGGACCACCGUUGCUGGGUUACAGAAGCAACUGCAAGGCAAUGUUAACUGCUGUUGAUGGUGCUGUUGAACUAGUGGUUGACAGACCGUACAAGGCUGGUGAAUCCAUUGUUGUUUGGUGUGGACCACAGCCAAACUCAAAAUUGCUUUUGAACUAUGGUUUCGUUGAUGAAGAUAAUCGCUAUGAUCGUUUGGUAAUUGAGGCUGCUUUAAAUACUGAGGAUCCCCAAUACCAGGAUAAAAGAAUGGUUGCACAAAGAAAUGGAAAACUAUCAGUUCAAGUUUUUCACGUGUAUGUGGGAAAGGAAAAAGAAGCUGUCUUGGAUAUGCUUCCUUACCUGCGUUUGGGAUAUGUUUCAGAUCCUUCUGAGAUGCAAUCUGUUAUUUCUUCUCAAGGACCUAUUUGUCCAGUGAGCCCUUGUAUGGAACGCGCAGUGUUGGACCAACUUGUUGAUUAUUUUAUUACACGGCUUGCUGCCUACCCUACUUCGCUGGACGAAGAUGAGUCUUUGUUGGCAGACAGUAAUCUGAACCCAAGGAAGCGAGUUGCUACUCAGCUUAUUAAGUUGGAAAAGAAAAUGCUUAAUGCAUGCCAGCAGGCGGCAGUUGAUUUGAUAGACCAGUUACCAGAUCACACCGUAUCGCCAUGCCCAACUCCUUAUGCCCCUCUAUUGAAAUAAAAGAAACCCAAUCCUUUGUAUUGUUGGAAAAUUUUGGAACUUCUUUGCGGUACUUGGAUAUAUCAGUUCAAAUGGAAGAAAACAAUCCAGGUACAUCUAUGAAUCUGCACAAUUUGGUGCAGUCAUAGAAUGCAAUAUAAUUAAUCACUGGCUCUAGUAGCCGUUAAAGAGAGAGAAUCAGGCAUUUUCAGAACUCCAUGUUUUAUUAAUUUUCUCGGCGUAUUUCGCCCCAUUCCCUUAACCUUCCCCUUGCUCCUACUUUCCUCAAAAGGUGUAACUGUAUCCUUAAAUGACCAUGUAAUCACCGCCACUUUGUGAAUGAGUAAUAGAAAAAGGAUAUUCCAUGUAGGUUUGCAAAUAUUUUUGGAUAUUAUUUUUCUUUGUAAAUGCAAUUAUGAAUAAUCAAAUAAAUAAUCAUUUGAGUGC